rnacentral:rRNA from 1 species
CAGCCGCCGCGGUAAUACCGGCGGCCCGAGUGGCGGUCACUAUUAUUGGGCUUAAAGCGUCCGUAGCCGGGUUGGGAAGUCCUCCGGGAAAUCUGGCCGCUUAACGGUCAGAAUGCCGGAGGAUACUCCCAGCCUAGGGAGCGGGAGAGGCCGAGGGGAUUCCCGGAGUAGGGGGGAAAUCCUAUAAUCCCGGGAGGGCCACCUGUGGCGAAGGCGCUCGGCUGGAACGCGUCCGACGGUGAGGGACGAAGGCCAGGGGAGCAAACCGGAUUAGAUACCCGGGUAGUCCUGGCUGUAAACGAUGCGGACUUUGUGUCGGACAAGCUAUGAGCUUGUCCGGUGCCGGAGGGAAACCGUUAAGUCCGCCGCCUGGGGAGUACGGCCGCAAGGCUGAAACUUAAAGGAAUUGGCGGG